rnacentral:piRNA from 1 species
UGUGAUUGUUAAUUCCACAGA